UACGGAGGGGGCUAGCGUUGUUCGGAAUUACUGGGCGUAAAGCGCACGUAGGCGGCUUCUUAAGUCGGUGGUGAAAUCCUGGAGCUCAACUCCAGAACUGCCUUCGAUACUGGGAAGCUCGAGUCCGGGAGAGGUGAGUGGAACUGCGAGUGUAGAGGUGAAAUUCGUAGAUAUUCGCAGGAACACCAGUGGCGAAGGCGAGUCCCUGGACAACUUCUGACGCUGAGGCACGAAAGCUAGGGGAGCAAACAGG
rnacentral:rRNA from 1 species